UUUUUAUUUAAGUUGCUGAAGAUUUUUUUGAAGAAUCUCUUAAUGCAAACAAAGGUGCUUUUUUGAGACGUCACUGUGAAGAUGUGCUUGGAUCAUGCAUGUUUGAAAAAGUUGUGAAGCUUUGCCAACAGUAUAAAAGUAAAUCAAGAGACGACUUGACGAAUGUUUUAAAAAAGUUGGUCAAUGACGAACUACUGGAAACGUGCUACCUAAUUGAUGAACUUGAUAUCAACCUACCACAAAAGUGCACAUGAGUGCAUUCAUUUUUUAAAUUG
rnacentral:lncRNA from 1 species